AAUAUGUCCACUCUAAUGCUUUUUUAUAUAUAAUUUUCCAAUAUCUUAGCCUCGCUUGUGGACUAGAACAAAGUUUUAUUAUCCUAGUACUUAAAGUAAUUAACAUUUUAACGUACUCGAGAAACGUAAAACUACAAAA